UUUAGUUUAUAGUCUAUUUAGAACAUAAAAUUUGAAGGAUUAAUUUUAAGCCUUUUUGGUUGCAGUGAUGCAUAUGGACUUUCUUGAUUUAUUUCUCUACAGUAAAAACAUAUGGUUUCAAUUCUGUUACACAACCAUGAUCACAACUGAGCAGCUCUUCCGUAAUUAAUUCAGGAUUUAUUAGAUAUUUUCUUCCAGUCACUUUGCUGAAAAUCAGAGAUAAAUAUAGAUCAAACAAUAACUUCGUUUACCAUUUGGGAUCAGCAAAAGGUGGCAGCACAACUUGCUGCCUUUUCCAAAGGAAGCUACAUUAGCUAAAUUUCACCUGGUGCGACUUGGACCGAUUUUUUGCGUCUCAGAGUAGAAAAAUGCGGAGUGUUUGCAGGGUGUCUACUUUGCGACUUCACAGAAACUCAUUAAAAUUUACUUUUGGGAAUUAGUAAAGAGAAAAUUAUAUGUUGAUUGGUGUAAAUUCAGCUGACGUGGCUAACCAAGACAUAUUGGGAUGAUUCGGAAAGAAUUUCAAGUAAGUGGCUCUUAAUGUGAUUAUCUCAUGCUCUGCUUUGAAUAGGUUCUAAAUGUAUAAUAAUAACUUAUUACACUAUGGCUUUGGUGUUAGUAAUUUAGCACAUUUACCAUUCCGCACAUACAAUUCAUCUUGGCUAUGGUGUGGUGAGUAUAUGCUUACUGACAGUCAGCUCUGUGAGUUGGGCUUUCAUAGCAUUGAGCAGAAGUGUGUCCUAAGUAUUGUGGCUAUUUACCAAAAAACCAACUCAUACCAGGGUAGCAUUUUAUAUAAACAAAGAGUACAAAAAUUCUGCAAAGGGUUAAAUCAUGUUUUAGAAAGUGUAUCUGUAUCGAUGUCCAGGAACCGUAACAAAACUCACAAAUAUGUUAAUCAUCAAAUGGGAAAUACUUUGCAGUGACCUCUUCUACUUGGACCAGAGGGUGGUAUUCUGCGUUUGACCAUCAUCACAACAAUGGAGGAGGAUGCACACAGUUUAUGAACUAAGCUUGUGUGUAGCACGGAAAAUGCUUGUGACACUGAUGGAGUGCAUGUGUGUGUGUGUGAUAUUAUUUUGUCUUUCGGUAUAUAGAAAUGGGAG